rnacentral:piRNA from 1 species
AACAAUAUCAAGCAACCAGACUCCCC